rnacentral:rRNA from 1 species
GACGAACGCUGGCGGCGUGCUUAACACAUGCAAGUCGAACGGAAAGGCCCUGCUUUUGUGGGGUGCUCGAGUGGCGAACGGGUGAGUAACACGUGAGUAACCUGCCCUUGACUUUGGGAUAACUUCAGGAAACUGGGGCUAAUACCGGAUAGGAGCUCCUGCUGCAUGGUGGGGGUUGGAAAGUUUCGGCGGUUGGGGAUGGACUCGCGGCUUAUCAGCCUGUUGGUGGGGUAGUGGCUUACCAAGGCUUUGACGGGUAGCCGGCCUGAGAGGGUGACCGGCCACAUUGUGACUGAGAUACGGCCCAGACUCCUACGGGAGGCAGCAGUGGGGAAUAUUGCACAAUGGGCGGAAGCCUGAUGCAGCAACGCCGCGUGCGGGAUGACGGCCUUCGGGUUGUAAACCGCUUUCGCCUGUGACGAAGCGUGAGUGACGGUAAUGGGUAAAGAAGCACCGGCUAACUACGUG